rnacentral:rRNA from 1 species
UACGAAGGGGGCUAGCGUUGUUCGGAAUUACUGGGCGUAAAGCGCGCGCAGGCGGUCUUCCAAGUCAGUGGUGAAAGCCUGGAGCUCAACUCCAGAACUGCCAUUGAAACUGUUGGACUUGAGUACGAGAGGGGUGAGUGGAAUUCCCAGUGUAGAGGUGAAAUUCGUAGAUAUUGGGAAGAACACCAGUGGCGAAGGCGGCUCACUGGGUCGUAACUGACGCUGAGGCGCGACAGCGUGGGGAGCAAACAGG